UUUUUCUUCCGGAAGUUGAGGACGACAGAGUAUGCGGAAACGGACGUACUGUAAUAUUGUUUGGCAAUUUGAACAAAAUAAGACGUUUUGAAUUGUACUCUGAGAGCAUACAUGGAACCAAUCUUAUGCUGGUUUAUGAAAAUGUGAGGUUUGAGCGUCUGAUGUCACUUCCUGCAAGGAAAAAGGCUGUGCAGCGAUCUGGCCACCUUCCCAGCAUGCACAGCCUCCUGGGGCUGAUUCAGCCAAUGUUCCCACCCAGGAAUCCUGGACUGCUGACAGGAAACAGGCCCAAGUCUCCCGAGGCCACUGUAAGUCAACCCUUGCCCGAGUCUCCCCCCAGGACCCCAAAACAUCUCUGGGGGGUAUUUCUCAGACAAGCCAGCUUACAAAUAGACAUUCAUGGUCAGCACCACACCCCGAAUCUCACUCGCCUUGCCCUCUGCCCGGCUUCCCAUCAGCGCCGCCUUUGAGGAAUUGAACAAUUCUAUUGUGUAAGACAGGCGUGAUUAACAGACACUUUGGGCCAAUUUCAUGCUUUCGUGAACUAACUUGUGUUUUCCUGCAACCUUGUCUAGUAUAUAAGCUGUCCACUGUACUAAUCGCUGUCCCUCAAUUUUUGCUUCUCAAAACCAAUGAUCAAUAUUUACAUAGUUUUAUGGAGAGGAAAUGUGUCAUUUGUGUAUAGUUGUGUGUUUGUAUAUCUAGAGAGGCUACAGAAUGAGUAGGAGUGGCAGCUAGUUUUUGACUCCCUCCUCUCUCUCUGCCCACUACCAUCCUUUUCAUAAACUUUUUGUAACUAGCCAGGUCAAAAGCCAUUUUUGAUCUAUGCCACAGACUGCUGAAAAUCAUAUGGCGGGCCGCAAAUGGCCCCCGCGCUGCAUUUAGGACACCCUUGUCUUGUGAAAAAUGCCGAAUUGGCCUUUCAUGCGAAUGUGAGUGCAGAUGGUGACGUGCCUGUUCGUGCACUGCAAUUGCGUAAUUAUUAAAUACCGGCUGGAAUAGUGUAUGGGAGUGAUAGUUUGUGCAAAGCACAAUAACUUCUUUCAUAUUUCAUUUAUUUUGUAAAAAACAAACAAACAAAUAGGAAUUCAAGAAACAAAAACAAUGUACCUACAUUAGUGUUUCAGAUGGUACCGAAUGGACACAGGCAGCGUGCUACAGUGGACAAAACAAAAAGCUAUUGCACAAGAGACACAUCUUCAUACAUAAACACACACAUAUAAACUGUACAUACUUACAUACAUCAUAUAUUUAUAGUCAGGCGAUGCGACAAAAGUGAUACACAUGACAGACGCCUAAAAAAAAAAAAGACAUCACUGAAGCUGCCAAAGUGCUUUUCACCAUUUCUGCUGGACUGUGUGAAUGUGAAUGAAUGUGAUUUAUAAACACAUUUUUUUUUCUUUCAAAUUCUUUCGUAUUAAAAAUAAAACACACGGGAAGAAUGGGAGUAUAAUCCUGAACAAACAGGAACCGGACAGCACGAAUAAACCUACACAACAGGACUUCCUACGGCAGCAGGAAGUUGUCAAGAAUGAGGAUGAUGCUAACCUCCCCAGGCUCGGUCGGGUGUUUGAAACCAGAUCUGAUCCCAAUAAGCUCGAGUUGCACACGAGACAUGUGGCGGACAAACCAAACCAGGAUGCUCUUUUCUUUUGUUUUAAGACUUCACAGUGAGUCGGGAUGAGCAGUAAUACUGUCGACCACGGGACCCUUUGCCCCGAAACCUCUUCUUCUUCUUCUUCUUCAUGCAUACAUUCAGCCAAGUUCGAUGGCGCAAACAGAGACGUUGCUAAACAACACUGUCAAGACAAAUAACUAGUCAAAGUGAACCACUGGAGAAAAUGUGCUUUCCCUUAAAGGAAACCGUUAAGAUACAUACACAAGAUGAGCGCUUAAAAAAAAAGAGGCACUGGGAAAAAUAGAAAAAGGGGGGUUAGUGGUGGAAACUGGAAUACAUCAUACACAUGUAAUGAGCUACACUUCCAUGCAUUACAAGAAAGUAGAUUAUGGUUACUCAAAUGGAUUUUAAGUAAGGUUAUAUCGGGACUAUAUAGCCCUGCUAUGAGCUGAUGGUUUCUAAAUAUGAAGGCCUAAUAUGUUCUGUAUUCAACUCCUAGUUUAGGAUUUUUUUUUAAGCGAACAGGAGUCGUCUUCAUCAAAUACAACACAAUGCAGAGGAGUAGCAAUGUUUUGGUUCGUGUUACAAUCAUAGCCUCGUCAAGAUUCUUACUUUGCAUUCAUUCGCCAGGACGUCGGGUGUCAGGAGCUCGCCCUACAAGCUACAAAGUGCAACGCUCAAAGCUUUGCAUUGAAGACGCCGCUCUUUUUGUGGGGGGGAGAGGGGGGUGUUGGCUUCCCAAGGCUGGAUUUACGCUGCAGGUCCAAGUGCUCAAUUCUGAUUUUUAAUGUACAGACCUGUCUAGUGACACAGAUCCUGUAUGGCUGACAGAACUCCCUGCGUGCGUGAAUAGAAGCAACACAAAUGUCACCGCGGGGCAGUGAUAACAUGGAACUCAAUAAUGGUCGAUAAAUAGUACAAAUAUUCAACGUGACAUAGUGUUUAUGGCCUGACUGCUUCAUUUGAAAUCCCAAUUAUACCAUUUGAGGGA